GGAGAAACUGUACCUCUUCUAAGUUUCAUACCGAUAACAAUAUUUGUUUUCGCCGGCACGUUUGUCGACCCCCAGAAGCUUGUUCAACCUACCACUGGUGCAUCAUUAACUGGAUCUCAUGCACCACAGACGUACGCUAACCUACAAAGCUAACAACGAGCCAGGCAGAAUGCAACAAGAAGCAUUAUAAGAUGAGACAGAGGGAGUCAGCAAUGUAAACAUGACUGAGAACAGAAACAUUCCUGAUCACCUGAUCAUCAUCAUCAUCUUUUCUCUGCUUGUGUUCUAUUUGCAUGUGAUACAAAUGAAUCACUGGAAAGGAAAAGGUAGAUGCUUUCUGACCUUCUCUGUGUCGAUGCCUUUUGACAUGGCCCAGGUGGAGACAAUGUAGUCCAU